GAGUGUUAAAAGAGUUUGUGAUAACAUGACACUAAGCACUUUACAGCUGGCACUCCUGGAGGCUUCUCUGUUACUCCUGGGCUGUGCCCAAGGGCAUACUGCUGCACUGUCAAGUAAUUUAUGCAAAGAAUGCCAUGCAAAUGCCACAUGUACAGAAACAAACAAUAAACUCUCCUGCAUAUGUAAUUUAGGAUUUAUUGGGAAUGGAAGGACACAUUGUUUAGAUAAAGAUGAAUGUCAGGUGGGAUCACACAAGGUUUGUGGAGAACACACAGCCUGCAGCAAUACACAUGGGAGCUACUACUGCACCUGUCUGAAAGGGUACCGACCGUCCAACAACAAUGAUGACUUUAUACCAAAUGAUGGCACUUUUUGUAAAGAUAUUGAUGAGUGUGAAAUAUCUGAUAUCUGUGGUUCUAAUGGGAAAUGUACAAAUAUUCCUGGAAGUUAUGAAUGCUACUGUAAUGAGGGAUACAGGCUACUAAAUGGUACUGAACCAUUCCAGGCAAACGGUGCACAUUCUUUGUGCAAAGAGGUUGAUUGUGGACAACCUCCGGCAGGUCCCCAUUCUAAGAUGGUCCUAGCAGGCAAAACAACCUUUGGCAAUCAUGUAACUUAUAUGUGUGAGCCUGGAUUCCUUCCUGAUCAUGGCAGCAACAUGUCUGUAUGCACAACUAAAGGAACAUGGGAAGGUGCUACCAUGGUCUGCAAAGAUAUUGAUGAGUGUGUGGUACCUGAAACCUGUGGUGCUCAUGGGCGGUGUAAGAAUUUCCCUGGAAGCUAUGAAUGUUACUGUAAGGAGGGUUAUAAGCUGCAAAAUGGCACUGGACAAUUUCAAAUACAGCAUGCUGAUUCUUCAUGCCACGCUGUUGACUGUGGUCAGCCACCAUCUCUCCCCUACUCUGAGAUGAUCUUAUCAGGCAACACUACGUUUGGCAGCCAAGUGAUUUACAAAUGUAUUGCUGGUUUCUUUGUAAAAGAUGGGCAUAACACAUCUGUCUGCACAGCUAAUGGGACAUGGGAUGGUGCAUCUACUGUAUGUGCAGCCAUAGACUGUGGACUGCCACCACUUCCGGCAAAUUCACACACGGAUUCCAUAAUUGCCACCACAUUUGGAAGUAAGGUGACAUACAGAUGUGAUGAUGGAUUCACUAUGGACAAAGAUCACUAUAUAUCUAUUUGCUCAGAUGCAGGUACAUGGACUGAAGUAGUAAUAGUUUGUAAAGCUGUUGACUGUGGACCACCUCUGGCCAUGCCAUUUGCUGAAAUCCACUCAUUUCAAAACACGACUUUUGGAAGCGUUGUGAUAUUUACAUGUUCAAAAGGAUUCAUUGCAGUGAGUGGUUCCAAUACCUCAAUCUGCACUGCAUCUGGAUGCUGGGUAGGAGCUAAUCUGGAGUGUAAAGUUGCAGACUGUGGACCUCCACCUUCUAUCCAGUAUACUGUCCCGGGUGUGCUGCAGAACACUACAUAUGGAAGCCAGAUUACUUUUGAAUGUUUACCUGGCUAUGUCAUGGACAGGGGGAACAAAGUUGCCACCUGUAAUGAGGAUGGAGAAUGGAUAGGAGCUAAUCUUGUAUGUAGAGAGGUUGACUGCGGAACACCUUUAAUCAUUGAACAUACUGAUUGGCUGUGGAAUAAUCAAAGUGCCUUGGGAAGCUAUGUCUUUUAUAAGUGUAAGCAAGGAUUCAAGGAUAAUGGUGGAAAGAAAUUCUCUCAGUGCCUUGAAAAUGCUACUUGGGAAGGACUAAAUCUGACCUGCACAGUAAAAGAAGAUAUUAUAAGCACGCAACUUAUUUUCAAUGAAACAUGUCUGAAAUGGAAGAAAAGUAGUGACAUAUUCGGUUGGGAGAUCUUGUAUGAGUUCAGUUUAUUUGGAGUAAGGUGGCAUGACAAAGACUUUGUUGACAAGAAAACUUUCAACUAUAUUACAGACAAUGAAUAUCCGACUGUGUGUUUGGAACUUCUUCCAGAUACAAACUACACUGUGACAAUGACAGUGACAGUGGUUUCAUCCAAGCUUCUUGCCAUACGGCUAAAUAUAACGGUACAAACAACGAUGAAACAAAUGUUUGGUAACAUUGUAGUAUUCAAUGAAACAUGUUUGACGUGGAUAAGAAGUUUUUCCCCAGUUAGAUCACUGGAAGUCUAUAGAGUGUUUAUUCACGGAAGUACCUCGUCCCUGAAUGGAUUACUUGAGAACAUAAUGUUUAAUUUCAGUACAGACAAGGUUACUCCAGUCCUCUGUUUAGAGUUGCCUUCUGCAGCUGAAUACAUGAUAAAUAUUACAGAGUCAUCCACAGAACUUUCUGCACAUGUGAAUUUAAACAUGACAACUUAUGAAAGGGACAAAUCCAGAAACCAGCAGACAUUCAAUAAAACUUGUUUGUGGGGGAAUACAAUUUUAGAUGGUGUAAGAGAGAUAUACAGACUAUAUGUGCAAGGAGGAAAAUGGUCUCCAGAGGAAAUAUUUCAGGAUCUGCAGUCUAGCAUCAAUAUAGCCCAAAAUAUAAGUGCACUAUGCAUAGACAUACCCAUGGAUGCUCAGCACCACAUACAUGUGACCGGGGCCCUGUCUAGCCUUAGAGGAGGAGAACCCAUUCAAAAUGUGACUGUGUUCAAUGAGACUUGUUUGGUUUGGAGAAGGCCUUCCAGUUUCAAAGAGCUUUAUGUGUUUUUCGUUCAUGGGUAUAGACGUUAUCAAAAGGAAUUCAUGCACCGACUGAUGCUUAAUGUCACCACAGAUGAGGAACAUCCUAUUGUAUGCUUAGAAUUGCAAAAAGGAACUAACUAUACUGUCGAAUUUGUGUCAACAUUUUACCCACAAUUCCCUGCCCAAGUCAUUAUCGUUACCCCGAUCUCAGAAUCUUCACUCCCUAACUUUAAAACAAUCAGAGCAGCACACAAUCAGUUGCUAAAAUUUAGUUUUCAGCGAAUGGAUAAGAAUGGACCCAUCAGUUCCUACCAGGUGUUUGUGAUUCAACUGACCUCUUGGUGCUCCUUUACCUGUGAGUCUUUGGAGGCUUUCACAUACUUCAAUAAAACAUCAAAGACUCAAGGAUAUGUCACUGCCGAGUUUUUUCCUGGAGAUGUUUCCAACCAUACAGAAUUCUCAGUUGGGGACAGACAAUACUAUGGAGACUUUUAUAAUGCUCCAUUAGAACGAGGGAAGGACUAUUGCAUUAUACUACAGACUAUCACCAAGAUGAGAACAAAGACAUGCAUGGUUAUGGCAGAAGUUGAAGAGCUACCAACCAGUAGACAUCAUAUGACUGUGGUUUUUUUAGGAUCAAUUGCCUUUGUGUGCUUCAUAGUACUCACAUCCUACUCAAUGACCAGGUGCUGUAGCAGAUAGUAGGAGUAAAGAAGUUUGAGCAGAACCUGCAUCACCUGAUUUGGUGAUACUAGGAAGAACGAUGUGACAAAGUAUUAAUUCCUAGUGUGCCAUUUCAGUAUUAUUUCAACCAUCAAUAUAUGAAAUUCUAACUAAGAAACAGGCAAUAUGCUGAAAAAAUACAAUUGAACAGAUUCAUGGAGAUGGAAGAAACUCAAGACUCAUCACAUAGAUAGUGGUUACAGUUUACUAUAGGGUUUAAUGUUGACUGCAAGAACUUUCAUUGUUUUAUUUAUGUAUUACUGAGAUCAGUAUCUGUCAGUGAGAAAAUGGUUUAAAGCAUGAAAAAUAUGUUGCAGUUUGAUAUAAGCCUUUUUAUAGUAUUAGACUCAAAAUUGCACUUGCAAUAAUUUAUGAAAAUCCUACUUUCUCAUACUGUGGGUUUUUUUGUGAAAUAAGUGUUCUGUUGUAUUUAUUAUUUGUUUUAAU